rnacentral:lncRNA from 1 species
GGACUCCUGCGGUGCUUCCGGUGGGAAGCUGUGCCCCAUCUCUGUCUCCCCAAAUGCUGAUAUCUUGGGGUCUUGUCUGGAAUCUGUCUGAAGCAUGGUUGAUUCACUUGAAAUGAUGCUAUUCCAGUGUCUAUGCUCAAACUGUAUCUAUCAUGUCUCCAUGUUAGUGUAGACAGGUUAGAGCUUUGGUCCUUGAGUAGAUAAGGUCGAUGACUCUGUUUAAUUGU